AUUGAACGCUAGCGGGAUGCUUUACACAUGCAAGUCGAACGAGUGGCGGACGGGUGAGUAAUAUAUCGGAACGUGCCCAGUAGCGGGGGAUAACUACUCGAAAGAGUGGCUAAUACCGCAUACGAUUUGAGCUGCCGAUAUCGUAUUAGCUAGUUGGUUGGGUAAAGGUGUACCAAGGCAACGAUCCGUAGCUGGUUAGAGAGGACGACCAGCCACACUGGGACUGAGACACGGCCCAGACUCCGACGGGAGGCAGCAGUGGGGAAUUUUGGACAAUGGGGGAAACCCGGAUCCAGCCAUCCCGCGUGUAUGAGAAGGCCUUCGGGUUGUAAAGUACUUUUGGCAGAGAAGUGGUAUCUGCAGAAUAAGCAACGGCUAACUACGUGCCAGCAGCCGCGGUAAUAC
rnacentral:rRNA from 1 species